GGGUCUGUAGCUCAGAUGGAAGAGCACACUCCUGAUAAGAGUGAGGUCGGUAGUUCAAGUCUGCCCAGACCCA
rnacentral:tRNA from 1 species